GAUGAACGCUGGCGGCGUGCCUAAUACAUGCAAGUCGAGCGAACGGACGAGAAGCUUGCUUCUCUGAUGUUAGCGGCGGACGGGUGAGUAACACGUGGAUAACCUACCUAUAAGACUGGGAUAACUUCGGGAAACCGGAGCUAAUAUCGGAUAAUAUUUUGAACCGCAUGGUUCAAAAGUGAAAGACGGUCUUGCUGUCACUUAUAGAUGGAUCCGCGCUGCAUUAGCUAGUUGGUAAGGUAACGGCUUACCAAGGCAACGAUGGAUAGCCGACCUGAGAGGGUGAUCGGCCACACUGGAACUGAGACACGGUCCAGACGCCUACGGGAGGCAGCAGUAGGGAAUCUUCCGCAAUGAGCGAAGGCCUGACGGAGCAACGCCGCGGGAGUGAUGAAGGUCUUCGGAUCGUAAAACUCUGUUAUUAGGGAAGAACAUAUUUGUAAGAAACGGUACACAUCUUGACGGUACCUGAUCAGAAAGCCACGGCUAACUACGUG
rnacentral:rRNA from 1 species